rnacentral:rRNA from 1 species
GCGGGGGAUCGCAAGACCUCGCGCGAUUGGAGCGGCCGAUAUCUGAUUAGCUAGUUGGUGGGGUAAAGGCCUACCAAGGCGACGAUCAGUAGCUGGUCUGAGAGGACGACCAGCCACACUGGGACUGAGACACGGCCCAGACUCCUACGGGAGGCAGCAGUGGGGAAUUUUGGACAAUGGGCGCAAGCCUGAUCCAGCCAUUCCGCGUGAGUGAAGAAGGCCUUCGGGUUGUAAAGCUCUUUCGGCAGGGACGAAAAGGCCAUGGAUAAUACCUGUGGUUCAUGACUGUACCUGAAGAAGAAGCACCGGCUAACUACGUGCCAGCAGCCGCGGUAAUACGUAGGGUGCGAGCGUUAAUCGGAAUUACUGGGCGUAAAGCGUGCGCAGGUGGUUAUUUAAGACAGAAUGUGAAAUCCCCGGGCUCAACCUGGGAACUGCGUUUUGUGACUGGAUAGCUUAGAGUGCGGCAAAAGGGGGGGUGGGAAAUUUCCCACCUUGUU